ACAGAGAGGACCUUGUUUUUUUACAUUGGAGAAGGAAGCUUGUUUACAAGGUCACAUCUUAAGCCAUCUCCGAACUGAACAUGGAAAAAACAUCUUAAGUUCCUGAGCAGCGGUGAAAAUGAGGUUUGAUGAUGAAGCUUGAAGAAGGGAGAAGGGCUGGGAGAAAUAUGGAACAGCUGGGACAGGCCGGAGAGAAAGAACAAAGUUGCAGUGACCCCGAUUCAGCUCAGGACCCGCUUAGAGAGUCACCUGGGACACAUCGAUGUCAGCACAUACAGCCCGGAAACCAGAGCUGCCGAAAGCUCUUCCUUCUCUCUCUUCCUUGAGCCAGCUCAGAUGACCGCCGCCCUCCUUGAAGUGGCCAUAGCAGGGGUGAAUCUGGAUUCGACCUUGAAGGGGAGACAUGAUCCAGAUCAUAUAACAGCGGAUGUACCACCAAGGGAGAGAGAGCAGAUGGAGAAGAGAGCAGGUCCUGCCUUUCAGAAUCGAUUUAGGCAGGUCACUUAAUCCCUUUAAUCUGAUUUCAUUAUCUAUAAAAUGAGGUUAAUAGUAACAAAUUUCAGCCUGGUUGUUUUUGGGGAAAAAAUAAGGUAGCCUCUGAGAAAGCUCCUAACCCAGUGCUCGGCACUUAGUAGGAACACUCUCCAAAUGUUUGCCAGGCCAUUUGCUUCUCUUUCUCUCCCCUGCCUUACUCUGCUUGAACCCUAGCUGAGGCCCCUUUCCUAGGCUGCACUGCAUUUCCUACCCUACAAAGCUGCCAGGGACCCGAUGGAACUGAAUGGCUUCCCCCUCA